GACGAACGCUGGCGGCGUGCCUAAUACAUGCAAGUAGAACGCUGAAGAGAGGAGCUUGCUCUUCUUGGAUGAGUUGCGAACGGGUGAGUAACGCGUAGGUAACCUGCCUUGUAGCGGGGGAUAACUAUUGGAAACGAUAGCUAAUACCGCAUAACAAUGGAUGACACAUGUCAUUUAUUUGAAAGGGGCAAUUGCUCCACUACAAGAUGGACCUGCGUUGUAUUAGCUAGUAGGUGAGGUAAUGGCUCACCUAGGCGACGAUACAUAGCCGACCUGAGAGGGUGAUCGGCCACACUGGGACUGAGACACGGCCCAGACUCCACGGGAGGCAGCAGUAGGGAAUCUUCGGCAAUGGGGGCAACCCUGACCGAGCAACGCCGCGUGAGUGAAGAAGGUUUUCGGAUCGUAAAGCUCUGUUGUAAGUCAAGAACGGGUGUGAGAGUGGAAAGUUCACACUGUGACGGUAGCUUACCAGAAAGGGACGGCUAACUACGUG
rnacentral:rRNA from 1 species